rnacentral:lncRNA from 1 species
GAGGUAACAAAUUUCCUUGUCAAUUGUGUCUUUGACUAUGGAUGCCCUAAAAUUUUUGUCAUCCGCAGACAAUUGUUGUCUUGUUUUGUUCCUCUUUAGAAGGGGUUUUAUAAUAAGCUAUAAAACUCUAACAGGUGCUCUUGAAUGCAGGUUUCUGAUAACUUUGGAGAUUGUGACAUCAGAAUAGAGGAAAAACUUUUAGGACUCAUGGAGAGCUAAAAUGUUCAUGAGUAUCAAGCAGAAAAGGAAUGAACUAUAUGGACUGAACUAACAUUUUUGACUUUUUGCUUAAAAUGUUUCUGAUUCUUUGUUUUGUUUUUCAGGUCUCAAAACUUUUCUUUUGAGUUAUUGAUAGCUUUUAACAAUUUAUUUUACUCCUAAGGACAAAAUUUGGGGCAUAUUUGUUUCUCUCGACCUGAUUUCUGCAGAAUUUGGAAACUAUUUGAAUCAAACUUGACUUAUGGAGCCAAUAAAGCCCUUGGAGAAGCUGGCGUCAUAUUUUAUAUACACAGUCCCUGUACAGGGUUUCUGACCUGUGCACUGAAAGCUAAGCUGUGCUUUCAGAAAUCCCUGAGAACUGAAGCUAGACAACUUAAUCUUCAGAAGAAAAUAACAGCAACCUAUUUAUGUACAUAAGCCACUUUCAUACCUGCCUACUGAUAUAUGGACUUCAGAGUAUUGUGGACUAUAUUGAUUUUCCAGAAUUGUUCUUUUGUUUGUUAUUACUUUUCUCCCUUUCUCCCCCUGUUUUUUUUUUCACAACAAAUUGCUUUUAUUUUGGUAUGCAUCCACAUUUCAGCAUUUAGUGGUCCUGAACAGAAAGUGGAAAGACACAGCAAUUCAAUCCCCCCAAUUUUGGGGAUCUGCUGUGCACACUAGGUUCUUUCUUAAUCCCUGCUGAGGAACUUGAGAAGCAGCAGCAGCACCAAAACCAAGGCAUGCACCGGAUUCAAGGUUCUUUUUGUUCCAGUUGUCAGAUUCCAAACUAGACCCCAAUGUAUUGCAAGUAUGACCAAAUAAAAGCCCUGUUUAAAACUUCUUCUUUUUCUUUUCUUUUUUUUUUUUUUGAGACAGAGUUUCACUCUUGUUGCCUAGGCUGGAGUGCAAUGGCACGAUCUCAGCUCACUGCAACCUCUGCCACCUGGGUUCAAGCAAUUCUCCUGCCUUAGCCUCCCAGGUAGUGGGAUUACAAGCAUGUGCCGCCACACCCAGCUAAUUUUGUAUUUUUAGUACAGAUGGGGUGUCACCAUGUUGGUCAGGCUGGUCUCGAACUCCUCACCUCAGGUGAUCCACCUGCC